AGUAGCAUGGGGCGCCACGCGUAACUCCAGCGAGCGCAUCCGCAACGGACCGACACCCAAACCCAAGCCCACAAAGUUGGCGAAUGGCAGGGGCAAUAAAAAAAGGCAUCAUUACGAAGUGAUUUAUCGGUCCCGAAUUAGUUAUUAAUGAGGAAAAUUGAUUUAUGGCUAGACUGUGUUACGAGACAUUCUCGCGCACCCGCGAUAUCAACUUUUGGCCGAAAGCUUCGGUCCCUUCGAUGUACAUACUUUUUGGUUUUUUGGUAUUUUUUCUGUUUUUUUUUUUUUUGUUUUUGUUUUUGGCAUACCCACAAUGCAAACACACAGGACGCGAGGGACAGGGUGCAGUAAAUUUAUUGUCAAUCACAAUGCGCCGGCAAUGGUGACUAACACACAGACACGAACUAAUCAUAAAAACGGACCGGUUUUGAUGGCAAAAGUCCGACCGUUCGCCCGGCCCAAAACCGAACGCGCCUAAAUGUAUGCAUCCUCCAUCGGAUCCACGGCUUGAUCGGGUGCGCUUGUAUGUGUAUGUGUGUGCCUUGGAGGUUGUUGGGUGACAGAAACAAGGUUAGCGUUUUUAGGCAUGGAUGAAUUUAAAUAAUUCUCGCUCUAUACCAGCGUCCCGGGGGCGGAGCGCAAGCAACUGUCAACAGCGCGAACUUAUGGGCAAAUAAUCGCCUGCCCCGGUUGUGGAGGAUGUGGAUAAAAAUGGUGAAACUAAACGCUGCCAAUAAAUAUAUGGGACAUUGCGAUAUUAAAACGCCAUUGGUGGCUUCGAUCGGUUGGUUGUACCAUCGUUAAGCUUAUGUUGUUUGUGCGGACAGGGCAAUCAAUGCUAUCAGACUAUUGAAUGCCACCGUAUCGGAGGCACAGCGGUGACGAAUGCUGACAACCGUAAGCUCUAGGGAUCAGCGGAACAACCAAACAAUAACGAAUUCAACACACGCCCUUGUUAGACUAACCUCGAAUAAGAUCGACGAAGAAGCUCAACUCACAGCACAGUGUGGUCACUAUUGCAGCUUCGUUAUCUACUUUCGAGAUACGGGAAGGUUCAAGCUAUCGAGAAGUGCACAACACUUGACAGCGGUGUUUGUGUGUGUGACCCACCCUGCCACAUGUAGGCAUGUAAGGAGAUAAUAGGUCCAUCCAUCAGGGUCUCUGAUCUCUCUUCAACUGUCGAAUCCAUCAGGGUGGGAAGCCGAAGCGUACUUCAACUGAUUGUUUGACCAUAUUUAACAUAAACACCCCCAACGAAGUAAAACGGCAGAUAAUAAACGGCCCAAUAGUCUAUUAGAUCAGGGGUCCCCAAACUUUUCAGUUCGUAGGCCGCAUUGCUUCACAUAUAAUGGUGUUGAGCGCCAUUUUUCCUUUGCCUGUAUCUAAUGCGAACAUUUCAAUUUCGUCUUUAUAAAAAAAAUACUAAAAUAAUAUACAAACUCCUAUAGCUUUCUAUUAUUUAAGCUUGGUCUACGUCUCUAAAAAGCAACAAUUACGUUUUCUUUAAAAAUAGUCACAAUUAACUAUUUCUUUUAACCUUCACGCAGUUGCCAAGUGCCGCAUAAUAGGCUUUCGAGGGGCGGUUGCGGCCUGCGGGCCGUAGUUUGGAAACCUCUGUAUUAGAUAAGUGUGCCGGCUCCUACAACACCGAACGGAGCCCAAGAUGCUCGGUCCCUAGUUGCAGCCUCUCAUCCAUGUAGAGACACCCGAUCUCCGGCAGGUCCCUCUUCACCUGAUCCAGUCAUCAUGUUCGCUGUACUCCCCUGCGCCUUAUGCCGAACUGGGAAUAACUGUCGAACUUCUUCUUGGAGGGGUAUGAACCCGGCAUCCUCAUAACAUGCCCCAGCCCCAGCGUAUCCUGCCAGCCUUCGCCACCAUCAGGAUGCUCGGUUCGCCGUAUAGCUCAGCAAGCUCGUGGUCCAUGCUUCUCCUUCAAACUCCAUGUUCGAACUCACAGAAUGUUUGCAUCCUUCGCUCGAAUGGUCCAAGGCUCACGUUCAUAGAGUUCACCACCGGGCGAAUUAAUGUGUGAUAUGUCUCACAUUUCGUGCAGGUUCGAAGUCUUCUGGAUCUCAGCAGUCGGUAAAGCCCAUAGUAUGCACUAGUGAUGGGAAAAAUGAAGUUUUCGUAGAAAUCGAUUCCGGCUAGCUCCGAAGAUUUCUGGAAUCGAUUUCGGGUAGUAGGUCUGGGAUCAGUUUCCAGAAUCGGCUCCAGAAUCGGAAUCGGCUCCGGAAUCGGAUUCGGUUUCAGAUUCGGAAUUGGCUUCAAGAUCGAAGUUGGUUUCGGCAUAUACAUAAGAAUAGGUAUUUGGAUACAAAUGCGUGCGAACAGACAGCGUCCACGGGCCUGCCCACGCCCGAAUGCAGAGCCGAUGGCAUACGAUUCUAUCUUCACCAUUAACAUGAGAGGGACAGAGCUUAUACCCCGAACGUACCCGAAAGGUAUGCAUGCUUCACUCAUCAGGAUCUAAAGGCAAGGACAAGGCAAAAGAGACAAAGAAAAA